CCGCCGCUGCGCCGGACUGCCUGCUCGAUCCCCUACCUCUGCAUAUAAUAAACGUGUCUCUCCUUGAACUACCUUGCAUCUUCCGAGUCCUGCAUUUGGGUCCUACUCUCGUUCCGAUGGGACGCGACAAAAGGUCUCGUGUGCUCGUUCAGUUAUCGUGGCCACCUGUUGUCGUCAACCUUCUACCUUGUGUCGACCAAUCAGCUCCCUGCAGUCAUUCAUUUCUUUUCCAAGUGUUCCUUGUUGUCUCUUCAAUUUGUUUGCAUUUAGUUCCCUGGUUUCUUUCAGGUCUUGUCGCUUCCUUGUCAAAUGUCAAAGUAGUUUCACUCAGGGCUUAGGUGGCAGUGAUUGAACUGAUGCUGUUGCUGUAUGGAUUCUCCACAAACAUGCAUUGGCAAGUUCCGAGGUGGCAAACUACUUUGGAGGCAUUGCUGUGGAUGGUUCUUGUAUCAACCGACCAGGCCAGUUCCUGAGGAAGAAUCACUUUCUUAGAGAUGUUUACCUGCAGCGCUUUAUUUAAUUAAACAGAGUCUUAUGUUAUCUUAACUAACAUUGUACACGGCCAUGCUAUGUGAUAAAUGCUGCCCACUUCUCUUCCAUUUCAGCCUGCUCAUCUGGGAAGGGGGACUUCACUCUCUGUGGUCCCUUCUUAUUGCUUCUUCACUUCAUUUUUUUUUUUUUUUAACCAAAAUAGCAGAAAAUGAAUGGAUGGAUGUGUUUUUGAGUUUGUCCUUACCGGCUGGGGGUUUAGACCAUGGAAUAAUGCCGAUUUUUGUCAAAUGUUCGCCUCUUUAGCCCUUUCAGAUGUUUUUUUUUUUAAUUUCUAUUUGGCAAUCAAGAAUGAUACAAAUAAACCUGACUUGUGAGUGAG